rnacentral:rRNA from 1 species
UAAUACGAAGGGGGCAAGCGUUGUUCGGAAUUACUGGGCGUAAAGGGCGCGUAGGCGGUGCAUUAAGUCAGGCGUGAAAGCCCUGGGCUCAACCCGGGAAUUGCGCUUGAUACUGGUGCGCUUGAAUCCAGGAGAGGUUGGUGGAAUUCCCAGUGUAGAGGUGAAAUUCGUAGAGAUUGGGAAGAACACCGGUGGCGAAGGCGGCCAACUGGACUGGUAUUGACGCUGAUGCGCGAAAGCGUGGGGAGCAAACAGG